AUUGAACGCUGGCGGCAGGCCUAACACAUGCAAGUCGAACGGUAACAGGAAGAAGCUUGCUUCUUUGCUGACGAGUGGCGGACGGGUGAGUAAUGUCUGGGAAACUGCCUGAUGGAGGGGGAUAACUACUGGAAACGGUAGCUAAUACCGCAUAAUGUCGCAAGACCAAAGAGGGGGACCUUCGGGCCUCUUGCCAUCGGAUGUGCCCAGAUGGGAUUAGCUAGUAGGUGGGGUAACGGCUCACCUAGGCGACGAUCCCUAGCUGGUCUGAGAGGUUGACCAGCCACACUGGAACUGAGACACGGUCCAGACUCCUACGGGAGGCAGCAGUGGGGAAUAUUGCACAAUGGGCGCAAGCCUGAUGCAGCUAUGCCGCGUGUAUGAAGAAGGCCUUCGGGUUGUAAAGUACUUUCAGCGGGGAGGAAGGGAGUAAAGUUAAUACCUUUGCUCAUUGACGUUACCCGCAGAAGAAGCACCGGCUAACUCCGUG
rnacentral:rRNA from 1 species